rnacentral:rRNA from 1 species
UAGGGAAUCUUCGGCAAUGGGGGCAACCCUGACCGAGCAACGCCGCGUGAGUGAAGAAGGUUUUCGGAUCGUAAAGCUCUGUUGUAAGAGAAGAACGUGUGUGAGAGUGGAAAGUUCACACAGUGACGGUAACUUACCAGAAAGGGACGGCUAACUACGUGCCAGCAGCCGCGGUAAUACGUAGGUCCCGAGCGUUAUCCGGAUUUAUUGGGCGUAAAGCGAGCGCAGGCGGUUGGAUAAGUCUGAAGUUAAAGGCUGUGGCUCAACCAUAGUAUGCUUUGGAAACUGUUCAACUUGAGUGCAGAAGGGGAGAGUGGAAUUCCAUGUGUAGCGGUGGAAUGCGUAGAUAUAUGGAGGAACACCGGUGGCGAAAGCGGCUCUCUGGUCUGUAACUGACGCUGAGGCUCGAAAGCGUGGGUAGCGAACAGG